GUGUGGAGCCAGGCCCUUCUGGGAACCCUGCGCUGGCAUUUCCUUGUUGUGUCAACUCCACCGAAGGGCCCCGGAAACCACAUGCAGAACAAAGUCUCCAGGCACUGUCUGGAAGGCGAGAGGAUUAGAGAGGGGAAGGAGAAAGUGCCGCGGGGCCAGCCUUCUGGGGCCUGGGAACUUCUGCCUCCCGGGAGAUGUCAGCUCCGCCAGGAAGUCCCAGGGACCUCGCCUGAGUCCCCGCCUCAGCUGCGGGAGCCACCCACCUGGUGCCGAGCGAGGUUUGUCCGCCAGGUGUGCUGGCCAGGUGUGUCUCAGCCAUCCUCAGGCCCCGCCCCCGGGGAGUCUGGUCCUCUUGGCUGUGUGUCGUUGGGGUGGUUGCAUCCCCUCUCUGGCUGGGCUAGAAGCACCUCUAGACCCAGUCACCUCUGGUGCUGCACCUGCGAAAACCAAAGCUGAGCCCAGGAGUGUGGACUGCAAGAGCUGCAAUCCCAGGACGUCCAAGGGUCCCACCUCCAUGGAAGCUGGUCGCCAAGGAAACCACUGCGGAGACCAUAGUCAGACCCGUGUCUUCCCUGCAGGGAAAUUCAGCCCUUACUCAUCUCUCCAUCCACAGCCGCCUCUUGGCGUGACCUCGGAAGGCGCUGCCAAACCCCAAGCGAGGAGUCCCCUCCCUCUCGCCGGGACCUUUCCCCAGGGGGCUGAAAGAAGGAAGCAGGGCUGGGAUGAGAAAGCCUAGGGCAGCAGAGCAAGCAUGGCCCUAGAACCCUGUCAUCAGCCCGUCCUUGUUUCAGCGUACAUGUGUUACUGGAGUGUAACACACAAUAUACAAAGCAGGAAAAGCACCCUUCACAUCUCCUGCUCCCUUCCCCCUGCGUCCAGAAAGGUGACCACUCUCCUGACUUCUAACAGCAGACCUUUGCUCCGCCUGCUGCUGCACUUGACAUCUUAAUACUUAGAAUCACCCAGUGUCUGCUGUUUGGAGUCAGGGCCGUGUCUUGAACACUGUGUGGCUGGAAGCCACAGGCGGCCUGGCACACGCACGCAGCCUAGGGCUUACGCUGUCACAGGCACCGGGGGCAGUCCCCAGCUCUGUGUGAAAGGAGCGGCGUUGCUGUGAGCUGGCCUGUCUGUGUCUUUGGGUGAACC
ensembl:lncRNA